AUUGAACGCUAGCGGGAGGCCUUACACAUGCAAGUCGAACGGAGUGGCGAACGGGUGAGUAAUGUAUCGGAACGUGCCCAGUAGCGGGGGAUAACUACGCGAAAGAGUAGCUAAUACCGCAUACAAUUUGAGCGGACUCUAUCGGAUAAGCUAGUCGGUGGGGGAACGGCCCCCCAAGGCGACGAUCCGUAGCUGGUUUGAGAGGACGACCGGCCACACUGGGACUGAGACAAGGCCCAGACUCCUACGGGAGGCAGCAGUAGGGAAUUUUGGACAAUGGGGGAGACCCUGAUCCACCCAUCCCGCGUGUGCGCUGAAGGCCUUCGGGUUGUAAAGCACUUUUGGCAGGAAAGCGGUACCUGCAGAAUAAGCACCGGCUAACUACGUGCCAGCCGCCGCGGUAAUUC
rnacentral:rRNA from 1 species